rnacentral:rRNA from 1 species
CGACGUGAGGAACCUGCCUUUCAGAGGGGGACAACAGUUGGAAACGACUGCUAAUACCGCAUAAUAUAUUGUUGUCGCAUGGCAAUGAUAUCAAAGAUUUAUCGCUGAAAGAUGGCCUCGCGUCUGAUUAGCUAGUUGGUAGGGUAACGGCCUACCAAGGCGACGAUCAGUAGCCGGACUGAGAGGUUGGCCGGCCACAUUGGGACUGAGAUACGGCCCAGACUCCUACGGAAGGCAGCAG